rnacentral:rRNA from 1 species
AGCGGAGGGAUCAUUACUGAGUUUACGCUCUAUAACCCUUUGUGAACAUACCUAUAACUGUUGCUUCGGCGGGUAGGGUCUCCGCGACCCUCCCGGCCUCCCGCCUCCGGGCGGGUCGGCGCCCGCCGGAGGAUAACCAAACUCUGAUUUAACGACGUUUCUUCUGAGUGGUACAAGCAAAUAAUCAAAACUUUUAACAACGGAUCUCUUGGUUCUGGCAUCGAUGAAGAACGCAGCGAAAUGCGAUAAGUAAUGUGAAUUGCAGAAUUCAGUGAAUCAUCGAAUCUUUGAACGCACAUUGCGCCCGCCAGCAUUCUGGCGGGCAUGCCUGUUCGAGCGUCAUUUCAACCCUCAAGCUCUGCUUGGUGUUGGGGCCCUACAGCUGAUGUAGGCCCUCAAAGGUAGUGGCGGACCCUCCCGGAGCCUCCUUUGCGUAGUAACUUUACGUCUCGCACUGGGAUCCGGAGGGACUCUUGCCGUAAAACCCCCCAAUUUUCCAAAGGUGA